UCCCUUCUGGCUCAGUCAGUAAAGAAUCUGCCUGCAAUGCAGAAAAAUCUGGGUUCCAUUCCUGGGUCAGGAA
rnacentral:tRNA from 1 species